UUGAGUGGGGGAUAACGUAGCGAAAGUUGCGCUAAUACCGCAUAUUCUGUGAGCAGGAAAGCAGGGGACCGCAAGGCCUUGCGCUCUUUGAGCGGCCGAUGUCAGAUUAGCUAGUUGGUGAGGUAAAGGCUUACCAAGGCGACGAUCUGUAGCGGGUCUGAGAGGAUGAUCCGCCACACUGGAACUGAGACACGGUCCAGACUCCUACGGGAGGCAGCAGUGGGGAAUUUUGGACAAUGGGGGCAACCCUGAUCCAGCCAUGCCGCGUGAGUGAAGAAGGCCUUCGGGUUGUAAAGCUCUUUCGGCCGGGAAGAAAUCGCAUGGGCCAAUACCCUGUGUGGAUGACGGUACCGGAAUAAGAAGCACCGGCUAACUACGUGCCAGCAGCCGCGGUAAUACGUAGGGUGCGAGCGUUAAUCGGAAUUACUGGGCGUAAAGCGUGCGCAGGCGGUUUUGUAAGACAGGCGUGAAAUCCCCGGGCUUAACCUGGGAACUGCGUUUGUGACUGCAAGGCUAGAGUACGGCAGAGGGGGGUGGAAUUCCACGUGUAGCAGUGAAAUGCGUAGAGAUGUGGAGGAACACCAAUGGCGAAGGCAGCCCCCUGGGUCGAUACUGACGCUCAUGCACGAAAGCGUGGGUAGCAAACAGGAUUAGAUACCCUGGUAGUCCACGCCCUAAACUAUGUCAACUAGGUGUUGGGUGGGUAAAACCAUUUAGUACCGUAGCUAACGCGUGAAGUUGACCGCCUGGGGAGUACGGCCGCAAGGUUAAAACUCAAAGGAAUUGACGGGGACCCGCACAAGCGGUGGAUGAUGUGGAUUAAUUCGAUGCAACGCGAAAAACCUUACCUACCCUUGACAUGCCAGGAACUUGCCAGAGAUGGCUUGGUGCCCGAAAGGGAGCCUGGACACAGGUGCUGCAUGGCUGUCGUCAGCUCGUGUCGUGAGAUGUUGGGUUAAGUCCCGCAACGAGCGCAACCCUUGUCGUUAAUUGCCAUCAUUUAGUUGGGCACUUUAACGAGACUGCCGGUGACAAACCGGAGGAAGGUGGGGAUGACGUCAAGUCCUCAUGGCCCUUAUGGGUAGGGCUUCACACGUCAUACAAUGGUCGGCACAAAGGGUUGCCAAGCCGCGAGGCGGAGCCAAUCCCAGAAAGCCGAUCGUAGUCCGGAUUGCAGGCUGCAACUCGCCUGCAUGAAGUCGGAAUCGCUAGUAAUCGUGGAUCAGCAUGUCACGGUGAAUACGUUCCCGGGUCUUGUACACACCGCCCGUCACACCAUGGGAGCGGGUUCCGCCAGAAGUAGGUAGCCUAACCGCAAGGGGGGCGCUUACCACGGCGGGGUUCGUGAC
rnacentral:rRNA from 1 species